UACGUAGGUGGCAAGCGUUGUCCGGAAUUAUUGGGCGUAAAGCGCGCGCAGGCGGUCCUUUAAGUCUGAUGUGAAAGCCCACGGCUCAACCCUGGAGGGUCAUUGGAAACUGGGGGACUUGAGUGCAGAAGAGGAAAGCGGAAUUCCACGUGUAGCGGUGAAAUGCGUAGAGAUGUGGAGGAACACCAGUGGCGAAGGCGGCUUUCUGGUCUGUAACUGACGCUGAGGCGCGAAAGCGUGGGGAGCAAACAGG
rnacentral:rRNA from 1 species